CCAUGUCUCUGAUCACCAUUUUCAUCCUGACAUGUGCUGCCUGUAUUCAAGAAUCCAGGGGACAGGUGACUGUAACUCAGAGUCCUGCAGUGAAAACUGUUUCCUCAGGUCAGACAGUCUCUGUUGGCUGUAAACUGGCCAAGGAUGGAUCAGUGUCUUCAUGCAGCACUCCCUGUGUGUCCUGGUACCUUCAGAAACCUGGAGAAGCUCCUAAACUCCUGAUAUAUUAUGCUACAACCCGUGAGUCUGGAGUUGCAAGUCGUUUUAGUGGCAGUGGAUCUGGGACUGACUUCACUCUGACCAUCAGUGGAGUCCAGGCUGAAGAUGCAGGAGCUUAUUACUGUCACAGUUACAACUGGAUUGGUAGCAACAACAUGUUCACACAGUGA